UCCCUGUUACCAGGGCAGUCUAGCUAGAAAAAUACAACUAACUAUAAGGGUUGCGCUCGUUAAUGGACUUAACCAAACAUCUCACGACACGAGCUGACGACGGCCAUGCAUCACCUGUCACCACAGUCCGAAGAUACUCUUUCCUUUCGGAAAGAUUAGUGGGAUGUCAAACCUGGGUAAGGUUCUUCGCUUACCAUCGAAUUAAACAACACGCUCCACCGCUUGUGCGGGUCCCCGUCAAUUCCUUUAUGUUUUAAGCUUGCGCUCGUACUCCACAGGCGGGAUGCUUAACGCGUUAGCUUCGCUACUACCAGGGUCGAUACUGAUAACAGCUAGCAUCCAUCGUUUACGGCGUGGACUAC
rnacentral:misc_RNA from 1 species